rnacentral:rRNA from 1 species
GAUGAACGCUAGCGGCAGGCCUAACACAUGCAAGUCGAGGGGUAACUAGAGUGAUAGCAAUAUUACUUUGGCUAGACCGGCGCACGGGUGCGUAACACGUAUGCAACCUACCUUAUACUGGGGAAUAACUUCGAGAAAUCGGCGCUAAUACCCCAUAACAUUGCGAAGAGGCAUCUCUUUGCAAUUAAAGCUCCGGCGGUAUAAGAUGGGCAUGCGUCCAAUUAGCUAGUUGGUGAGGUAACGGCUCACCAAGGCUACGAUUGGUAGGGGUUCUGAGGGGAUGUUCCCCCACACUGGUACUGAGACACGGACCAGACUCCUACGGGAGGCAGCAGUGAGGAAUAUUGCGCAAUGGACGAAAGUCUGACGCAGCCAUGCCGCGUGCAGGAUGACGGCCCUAUGGGUUGUAAACUGCUUUUGUACGGGAAUAAACCCUUCUACGUGUAGGAGGCUGAAGGUACCGUAAGAAUAAGCACCGGCUAACUCCGUGCCAGCAGCCGCCGUAA